UUAAUUGAAGAGUUUGAUCAUGGCUCAGAUUGAACGCUGGCGGCAGGCCUAACACAUGCAAGUCGAGCGGCAGCACAAGGGAGUUUACUCCUGAGGUGGCGAGCGGCGGACGGGUGAGUAAUGCCUAGGGAUCUGCCCAGUCGAGGGGGAUAACAGUUGGAAACGACUGCUAAUACCGCGUACGCCCUACGGGGGAAAGAGGGGGACCUUCGGGCCUCUCGCGAUUGGAUGAACCUAGGUGGGAUUAGCUAGUUGGUGAGGUAAUGGCUCACCAAGGCGACGAUCCCUAGCUGUUCUGAGAGGAUGAUCAGCCACACUGGGACUGAGACACGGCCCAGACUCCUACGGGAGGCAGCAGUGGGGAAUAUUGCACAAUGGGGGAAACCCUGAUGCAGCCAUGCCGCGUGUGUGAAGAAGGCCUUCGGGUUGUAAAGCACUUUCAGUAGGGAGGAAAGGGUGAGUCUUAAUACGGCUCAUCUGUGACGUUACCUACAGAAGAAGGACCGGCUAACUCCGUGCCAGCAGCCGCGGUAAUA
rnacentral:rRNA from 1 species